UCCAUUGAAAAUUUGAAUUACAAAAAAGAAGCCACUAAUUAUCACAUUAACAUAUUUUCAUACACCGGUAAAUAAAUACGAAAUUGCAAACAUUUUCAUUUCAUAAAUUCACCGUUCAAAGUUACACAAAAUUACAUUAAUUUCGCUUUCAUUAAAAAUCCAAUACUAACUUCUUGAACUCAAUGCCCUUGAUCUCUUCUUCACGCCUGCAAUCUUGCAUCUUACGAAGUAAUUCAUGGUGGUUUAAUCCUGAAUAAGAUAAUGAUAAUUAAUAAACAACAAUGCAUUUUCUAACUUUUAAUUAUAUAAAACAACUCCCUUUGAAAUGGAACAAUGAUAUAAAUGCAAUUCAAGUUGCUCCUAUAGAAAUGACAUGUACCAUGAACAUGACUUCAUGUGGUUAUGUAAUUACUCACAAACACAAAAUGAAUGUGAUGGAUGUUUGCAUAAAGCUGAAAAAAGCCCAAAUUCAGAAUGGUUGAUAGUUUAAUAUGCUGAUUCCAUCAUGUCAAUAGUUAACUAGUUGGUGUAAAUUAUUGAGUUUAAUUAUUAUGGGAAAAUGUAAAUCAUAACAUCAGUAUAAACUAAUGCCAAUGAUCUAUUUAUCUCUGCAACUGGAACCCAUUUUGUUAGUAUAUUAUUCAAGGCACGCAUG
rnacentral:lncRNA from 1 species